UUUAUAUAUUCUCUCUUUUUCUCCCUCGUUAUAAGGGACAAUGAAGGGGAUCUCACUGAAAUGAUUGGCAGAGAAGUUUCAAACAAACUAAACGAUUUUGAAGACAUGAAGGUGGUGGGUAUGAAAGCACACUUGAAGAAUAUGCUCGAUUUGUUACAUUAUAAAAAAUGAUGAUGAAGAUAGUUGGAACUUGUGGCCCUGCGGGUAUUGGUAAGACUACCUUUGCAAGAUGGUCGUAAGACUCAUAGACACGUUCCGUCCCUAGGCCAGGGAGAUUGCACUGUGUUGUUUUAUCCCAAGAUUUUUCCACAUUUGGGUCUUUAAUGAAACAAGAUUUCAUGGUUCCAAGCUUGACCUCUGGAUUUUGUAUGGUCAAGUUUGAAGGAGGAGUAUUGAAAUGAGGAACCAAAAAGAAGAAUAAAUUGAAGAAAAAAAGACACAGGUGAAAGAAGAUGUCACAAAACUUCACCAAAACUCACAACCUCACAAGAGUUCACCAGAUCUCUCACAUGAUUUGGGUUAGACAAUAUUUGAAACCACCGAGCCAAACCAGACCUUCUCGUCUAUCAGUUGCCGCUGGCUCCUCCUCUAAGGCCUUAACAAGUGGUAAAAGACCGACAAUUAGCACUUCAUCUUCAGAGCGGUGAAGAUUCUUUUGAUUUGAUCCAGAUGGUGUUUGAUAGUUAAUUGUGUAACUAUAAGGAAGCAUAUGAUGCCUUUUUGUAAACCUGAUUAACAAACACCCGUGAGUCCGUGACCAAAGUCUUCUUUUUGGAUUGGUGUUAACAAAAUCUUGUCUACGUAAGCGUUGAGGUUUCUAUAUGUUGUUUUUCAUAUGAUAAUAGAAUUAAGCCAAAAUGCCCAGAGUUGCUCUUUUUUUUCUCUCUAUUAGUCUCUGAUUUUUUUUCCAGGAAUUCACUCUGGUUCCUGAAUAGAAAGAAAAUGAGAGAUGAGGUUAGGGCUGGGCGUAAAUUACUCGUUCCUCGCUUUAAACUCUCUAUUUGAUUUGUAUCCGCUUUGAAAAUUCAAAUACUCUUUGUUGUCAAGGCAAAUAACAAGUUGACAAUUU